UACGUAGGGCGCAAGCGUUGUCCGGAAUUAUUGGGCGUAAAGAGCUCGUAGGUGGUUUGUCGCGUCUGUCGUGAAAGCUCUGGGCUUAACCCAGAAAUGGCAUUGGAUACUAUCUGGCUAGAGGAGUGGAGGGGGGACUGGAAUGACUUGGUGUAGCAGUGAAAUGCGUAGAUAUCAAGUGGAACACCAGUGGCGAAGGCGAGUCCCUGGACACUUCCUGACACUGAGGCACGAAAGCUAGGGGAGCAAACAGG
rnacentral:rRNA from 1 species